GACAGAGGGGGCAAGCGUUGCUCGGAAUCACUGGGCGUAAAGGGCGCGUAGGCGGGAUGGCAAGUCGGUCGUGAAAUCCCUGGGCUCAACUCAGGGGGGUCGGCCGAUACUGCCGUUCUUGAGGGAUGCAGAGGAGACUGGAAUUCCCGGUGUAGCGGUGAAAUGUGUAGAGAUCGGGAGGAACACCGGUGGCGAAGGCGGGUCUCUGGGCAUUCCCUGACGCUGAGGAGCGAAAGCGUGGGGAGCAAACAGG
rnacentral:rRNA from 1 species